AGCUUUGCGCACUGGCAAUAUCGUAGCCAAUGAGGUUUAUCUGAGGCGCGAUUAUUGCUAAUAGAAUAUAUUCAUCAGCAUAGAAGGAAACCCCAUGCCCUUUAGCCAUCACUUUUUUUUUUUUUUUUAAGCCAUCACUUUUAAGUC